ensembl:lncRNA
GGUGCCAAGAUCUAGAUCUAUACAUGCUACAUGGACAGGAAAAUAUAACAGGAACCAAAUCCUGGUGGUGGAUCAUGUUGCAGCAAGAGUGUGUUCCUGUGGACAUCCACAACUUUUCAAAUAUGAUGGAGAGUGGCUUGGCAAUGACAUCAUCCAGUUCCUUCAGGAUCCUGUGAUGUAUGUUGUCCAUAAUCCCAUAAAUUUGUACACAUUCACCCUCAUGAGGCAGUCUUGGACUUGCUCCACUCCUACUGUGGUACGUUCAGGGACACGAGAAGCAUGGGAAGACUGAAUGUCAUUGAAGAUUGAGGCAGAGAACUUGCUCAGGGACAGUCCCCUUCUGUUCCCAAUCUCCCCAACAAUACCCGGAGGAAG